CAGGGAGCGAGCCAUGAAAGCAAGGUGAGUUUGUAAGGCUGGGGACUGUCUAAAGGAGAGGCUGGACAGGCCAACUGGUGUCUUUAUCUGCACAGGGCUGGAGAGGGCUGGGCUACAGGAAGGUGCUCACAGUAGCACUUACAGAACACCCUGGGAUUGCCUGGAGGAUCCCCUGGAACACAGCCUUCCCUACCCAGGUCUCAUUCUUCCUCUUAAAAGGGAGGAGUGGUUGUAGCAGGGCCUCACCUGUCUCCUGAGACCUCCUUCCCCCAGGUCAGUCAUGGAGUCAGCUCCUCUCUGCUCCUCAAGAAGGUCUGAAAUUCCUGCACGCAGAGGACAGUGUCUGUGGGCAGGUGCUUGGUGAAAGACUGUCCCAACUGCCCAACUGUCUCCUGGAACCUGUGGCAAGUGAGGUCUACUCUUGAAGCAUCAGUGUUUUUUAUCUGUAAAUUGAACUGUAAAUUGUAAGGUCAUUUUUCCUCAAAUAAGACACAAAGAAAGCAUUG